rnacentral:rRNA from 1 species
GCGAUAGUAAUGUGAAUUGCAGAUUUUCCGUGAAUCAUCGAAUCUUUGAACGCACCUUGCGCUCCUUGGUAUUCCGAGGAGCAUGCCUGUUUGAGUGUCAU